UAGUUUGUCUGUUGUAAAUCCUGCCCACUUGUUUGCAUUGUGACACAUGCUUCAGUGCUCUGAGAGUGUUUAUAGUGCUGUGAGUUUAACACUUCAUGACUGAGAGCAGAACAGAACACAAUCUUCAUCAUCACACAAGACAAAAGAACAACAAUGAACACAAUCACCUUCUUCAUCUGGACUCUCACACUGUUUAUUCAAGAGUGUAGAGGACAGAUCACUGUAACUCAGAGUCCAUCAAUAACAGCUCAACCAGGACAAGAAGUCAGAAUAAACUGUAAAACCAGCAGUGCAGUGUAUGGUGGUAAUCGUUUAGCCUGGUACUUACAGAAACCUGGAGAAGCUCCUAAACUCCUCAUAUAUUAUGCAACAACCCGUAAUACUGGAACUCCAUCUAGAUUCAGUGGCAGUGGAUCUAACACUGAUUUCACUCUGACCAUCAGUGGAGUCCAGACUGAAGAUACAGGAGAUUAUUACUGUCAGAGUUGGCACAGUGGUCCAGUGAUCACACAGUGAUAAAGAGUGGUACAA